GAUGAACGCUAGCGGCAGGCCUAAUACAUGCAAGUCGAGGGGCAGCACGGGUAGCAAUAUCUGGUGGCGACCGGCGCACGGGUGCGUAACACGUAUACAAUCUGCCUUUUACAGGGGAAUAGCCCGGAGAAAUUCGGAUUAAUGCCCCAUAAUAGAUUUACUGGCAUCAGUAGAUUUUGAAAGCUCCGGCGGUAAAAGAUGAGUAUGCGCAUGAUUAGCAAGUUGGUAGUGUAAUGGACUACCAAGGCAACGAUCAUUAGGGGAUCUGAGAGGACUACCCCCCACACUGGUACUGAGACACGGACCAGACUCCUCCGGGAGGCAGCAGUAAGGAAUAUUGGUCAAUGGAGGCAACUCUGAACCAGCCAUGCCGCGUGCAGGAUGAAUGCCCUAUGGGUAGUAAACUGCUUUUAUACGGGAGAAAACCCGGGUACGUGUACCCGGUUGAUAGUACUGUAAGAAUAAGGAUCGGCUAACUUCGUGCCAGCCGCCACCGUAAAAC
rnacentral:rRNA from 1 species